AUUAUUAUUAUUAUUAUUUAGUAUUAUUAUUAUUAUUUUUAUUGUUAUUAUUAUUAAGAGAGUGAGAAAAGUCUUCAACAUCUUGUGAAACAGUUCAGAGGAAUAGGACUGAGUAUGAAUACAGGGGAAAGAAAGUAUUGAACAAAAAAUAUCUAUAACAAUAAGUUAUUUCUUAUCUUUUAAGAAUAGAUAUGUAAGAAGCUCUUCUUGUUCGUAUACAGUAUCAGAAAUGGUACUUACAAGAACUUGAGGAGGCAUUUCCUUCAAAAUGGAAUAAAACCUAGGGUUCAUGGGAACACUGGUCGCAUUCCUUGUCAUGCUGUUUCUGUGGAAGGCAUUAAAGAUGUGGUAGCAUUUUUGGAGAACUAUGCUGAAGACUACACCAUAUUACUACCUGGGAGGAUACCUAGAGUGAGGGAUUAUGGGAAGGCCAAGCUAUUGCCGUCCAGUGUGUCCCGACACAAGGUUUACCGGCAGUAUGCUGAUGCUGGUAGGGAACAUACUCUCUGUGAAAGUAAUUUACGGGCGAUAUUGAAGAAAUUUUAGUUAGUUGUAUACCAACACUUGAUCCUUUUAUUGACAUUUCUGAUGGUGGGGCAUAUGCUUGUUCAUAUCAAUUUAUUACUAUUUUAACGUUAUCAUUUUGUUUAGCGUUUUUCUUACACAAAAAGUUAAAGUGUAUAUGCUGAUAAGGACCUUAGUGUAUAGAUUGCUUCUUCUGUUAUUGUUAUCAUUAUUUCUUGAUUUAUUUGUUCAUUAAUUUUUUAUAAAUGUGUUACUGGCACUAGAUUAAAGGUGGAUCUGUAUUUUAAGUGUGAAAACUGCUUAUGGUCCUACUUGUGCAAAUAGAGUAUCGAAGAGUAAAAGUAAAAGCGCAUUCUCUAUCUCAGGAUUUAAAUAAAGAAGUUGCCUUUUCUGUUAAUGUACAAUGAACAUCUCAUAAUCAAGAAACAGUUUGUUCUAUGGACAUUGCCGUAUUCUUUAAAAGAUUGUGUUAAUGGUUGCUGAGUAAGUAAUUUUCACAUGCCCAUGUCUCUGACUGUAAAAUGUAUUUUGUCAUUAUGUCUCAAAUAAACGCUUGAUUUUAGAUU